GCAACACAGGACAACACAGAGUGGGGAGGGAGGCUGGGAGCACACCAUCCCCCAACCCCUGCCGCCCACCCACCCGCUUAGGACCCACCAUGCCACAUGACAGCCAGCCUGACAGCUCCAGUUGUUGGAUACGCACAUGCUGAUUCGAAGGGGACGUGUACCCCGAUGCUCACAGCAGCACUACUGACAGUAGCCAAAUUAUGGAAAGAGCCCACAUGUCCGUCGACUGAUGAACGGAUUAAGAAGACGUGGUAAUAUGUAUACAAUGGAACACUACUUGGCGAU